rnacentral:rRNA from 1 species
GGUAAACGCUGGCGGCGUGCCUAAAACAUGCAAGUCGAACGAGACCUUCGGGUCUAGUGGCAGACGGCUGAGUAACGCGUGGGUGACGUGCCUAGUAGUGGGGAAUAACUGCCCGAAAGGGUGGCUAAUUCCGCAUACGCCCGAUCUUUCAGUAGGUUGGGGAAAGCCGCAAGGCGCUGAUGGAGCGGCCCGCGUUCGAUUAGCUAGUUGGUGGGGUAACGGCCUACCAAGGCGACGAUCGAUAGCUGGUCUCAGAGGAUGAUCAGCCAGACUGGGA